UGGCACUCCGUCGCGGGUACCAGUUGAUCCGAUCUAGAGAACAGCCAGCUUGUGGAAUUAACGUGCAAGUGGCUGAGACCUCCACAGACACCCGCUCCCUUAAUGUAGUUCUCUGAAAAAUUUCAGCGUGAUACAGAAAGUGACAAGGCUGAUCCUUCGAAAUACA